rnacentral:rRNA from 1 species
AACGAACGCUGGCGGCAUGCCUAACACAUGCAAGUCGAACGAGGCCUUCGGGUCUAGUGGCGCACGGGUGCGUACCGCGUGGGAACCUGCCCCUAGGUUCGGAAUAACUCCCCGAAAGGGGUGCUAAUACCGGAUAAUGUCUUCGGACCAAGGAUUUAUCGCCUUUGGAUGGGCCCGCGUUGGAUUCGCUGGUUGGUAGGGUAAAAGCCUACCAAGGCGACGAUCCAUAGCUGGUCUGAGAGGAUGAUCAGCCACACUGGGACUGGGACACGGCCCAGACUCCUGCGGGCGGCGGCAGUGGGGACUAUUGGACAGUGGGCGAAAGCCUGAUCCGGCACGGCCGCGUGAGUGAUGAAGGGCUUAGGGUUGUAAUGCUCUUUUACCCGGGAGGAUAAUGGCAGUACCGGGAGAAUAGGCUCCGGCUACCUCCGU